rnacentral:rRNA from 1 species
UGGGGAAUAUUGGACAAUGGGCGCAAGCCUGAUCCAGCCAUACCGCGUGGGUGAAGAAGGCCUUCGGGUUGUAAAGCCCUUUUGUUGGGAAAGAAAUCCAGCCGGCUAAUACCUGGUUGGGAUGACGGUACCCAAAGAAUAAGCACCGGCUAACUUCGUGCCAGCAGCCGCGGUAAUACGAAGGGUGCAAGCGUUACUCGGAAUUACUGGGCGUAAAGCGUGCGUAGGUGGUCGUUUAAGUCCGUUGUGAAAGCCCUGGGCUCAACCUGGGAACUGCAGUGGAUACUGGGCGACUAGAGUGUGGUAGAGGGUAGCGGAAUUCCUGGUGUAGCAGUGAAAUGCGUAGAGAUCAGGAGGAACAUCCAUGGCGAAGGCAGCUACCUGGACCAACACUGACACUGAGGCACGAAAGCGUGGGGAGCAAACAGGAUUAGAUACCCUGGUAGUCCACGCCCUAAACGAUGCGAACUGGAUGUUGGGUGCAAUUUGGCACGCAGUAUCGAAGCUAACGCGUUAAGUUCGCCGCCUGGGGAGUACGGUCGCAAGACUGAAACUCAAAGGAAUUGAC